rnacentral:lncRNA from 1 species
ACUGAUUUUUCAUAUUUCAAUAUCAAAAUAGAUCUUUACUAGUGGAAAGACCUUCAAUUGUUCUCUGAACAAUUGGUUUUUAAUUAUUAUUUUUUUUUUUUCUUCCGCCUAAUUUUUUUCUUGCGUAGUAUUGUUGUUUAAAAAGAUGUCGCUUAGAUAUUUGGAAUAUGAUAUCGUAUAGUUUAUACGCUUUAAAAAUUUACAACUGCGUAACAAAAUACUUUACGUUGUAAGAGUUAUCUCCCCAAACACUGUUUUUCUUGUGGCCACUACUCCUUCGCAACCGUAAAAGAUUACGACAAAAUUAUUUUACCAAAUUGCUCGUUACAUCUUCAGGAUUAGGAUUUUUAUUUUGACCGAAGCUAUCCGGAGACUCCAUAUGAGAGUUAUUCCCCCUUAUGUAUUUGAUAUAAGUGAUAUGCGUUUCUAACUGGUAAACCAUAAGUGAUAGAGACCUAGGGUCUCUUGAUUUGAGAUCCUUGGUCCAAAAAAAUGAAAAUAAGGUCAAGGUCAAAGGUCAAGGUCAUAUUCUAAAAUUUGAUUUUGGCUUAUUUUCACUUAUUUUCAAAUACCGUAUGACAUAUCGACAAAUAUUUUUCCUAAAUUGUUAGUUGCGACAUGUCCUUACUUGUAUAUUUUGGUUGAAAGGGUGCGCAUACAAUAAAUGGGAGUUUUUGUCCAUCUUACAUUUAGAAUUACGCGUAAAGUGGUAUUACUCAUUAACCAAACAUAUUAAAGACCUAGGGUCUUUUGAUUUAAGGUCCUUGGUUUGUGACCUUGAAAUUGAGGUCAAGGUCAUAGGUUAAAAGGACGUUCUAGAUUUUGACCUUUGCUUUAAAUUCAUAUAAAUACAUCAUAAAGCCAUAGGAACUAACAUUUUAAACUGAUUUUUCAUAUUUCAAUAUCAAAAUAGAUCUUUACUAGUGGAAAGACCUUCAAUUGUUCUCUGAACAAUUGGUUUUUAAUUAUUAUUUUUUUUUCUUCCGCCUAAUUUUUUUCUUGCGUAGUAUUGUUGUUUCAAUAAGAUGUCGCUUAGAUAUUUGGAAUAUGAUAUCGUAUAGUUUAUACGCUUUAAAAAUUUACAACCGCGUAACAAAAUACUUUACGUUGUAAGAGUUAUCUCCCCAAACACUGUUUUUCUUGUGGCCACUACUCCUUCGCAACCGUAAAAA